UUCAAUUUUCUAAUCAUUAAUCACCUCAGUUAACAUUGCAGGUGAAAGAAGUGCUAGAGUGUUAAUAAUUUCAAUCUGCCAGUGGUAUAUGAAUGCUUUCGUUCAUCAUCACUUGGUGAUUCUCCAAAUAGCUUUGAAGGCUUUUAGUUGUAUGAUGACAUGUGAAAUUACAAUAUUAGUUGGCGCAUCUGGUGCACUUAGUGUACUAUUGGGAGCCAUGGUUUCUAAGCUUUUCACUAAUUGGAAAAUCUAAGCAAAUAAGCACUUGUAACUCUCGUGCUCAUUAUAGCCAUAAAUUUGCCCCUUGGAUUUCUACCACAUGUGGACAAUUCAGCUCAUAUUGAAGGAUUCUUGUCAGGAUUUCCAACUGGCUUGGAUGUGUAAGCCACAAAUAAAUUCCUUCAGUAUAGGAAAUAAAGCAGAAAUCCAAGCACAAGUGUUAUCAAUUCCUUUAUAGGAUUACAGCUUUAGUCCUUUUAGUUCUUGGUUUUGUCAUCCUCGAAGAAAUUGGCAGAUAUGCAUAUGGAUGCAUUGAGCUAUUUAAUGGUCAGAAGCCAUAUAGCCAUAUGGUCUAGCUUUCUGGAGCAUCAAUCAACAGAAUGAUUAUGUCAGUUUUUUUGCCUAUUCUUCAAGCUUUACAUGUAUAACAAAACUAUUAUUGUAUGUAUGC